ACCUAUGGCAAUGGGGCGUGGAGAUUACCUACCAUUGAAACCAUCCUUUAGACUGUGUUGGUCUAACACCUGACCUAGAAGCCUCAACUUCAUGAAUUGCAUAAAAUAGCCUUUAAAAACUCACUUUUAAAAAAAUUAUUUAUUUAUUUAUUUAUUUAUUUAUUUAUUAUAUGUGAGGUAAUCCCAUUGAAAUUAUUGGAUUCUCUGGUUAUUGCCUUAGGGUUUUGCCUAUUUCUCAAUUGUACAUAUGAUUAACACUAUGUACUCUCUCUGUAAUAUUUCAUGUAAAAUGGAACAAUGGGAUUUAAAUUUCUCUGCUAUUUAUCCUUUGUGCAGAUUUACUACAAUUAAUCCAUUCUCUCAUCAGGGUACAUUUGGGCUGAUUCCCAGUAUGUGCUAAGGUGAAUAUUUAUACACUUCUCCUUUGCCAUGUGCAGUUUGGUCUGGAGGAUAUUUACCAGGAAUGGGAUUGUUGGACUAUAGGGGCUGACACGUCUUUAAAUGUGUUUGACUUUGCUAUCAUUCUCUUCACAACACUCCACAUGAUCAUAGAUGAAUAUUUAAACAUUUUUUUUUUCUUUGCUAGCACUUGGUUUUGUUUUGGUCCGUUCAGUGUGAUAGCUAAAAAAAAUGACAUGGGACUUUAUUUGCAUCUUGUUUACUGGGAAGGAGGAGUCUUUUGUAUGUGUUCUGUGACCAUUUAGGUUUUCCGUCAUUAUUUUCCUAUGGGAUUGAUUAAUUAGGAUUAGUUCUUUUUGGACUGGUGAGAUAGCUCAGUGGGUAGAGGUGCUUGCUGCCAGAUCUGCUGACCUUAGUUCCAGCCAUUCCCAUGGCACAAGAUCUGAGUUUUAUGGGUUAUUGUUUAACUAUACCACAUGUGUGUUUGUGUGGAUGUGUGGAGACACACACAUACAAAUACAGUUAAUCUUAAAAAGAAUUGAUAUUUAGGUAUUGCUUGGACAUACAGACUAGUUAAUUGAAGGUUGGUUAAACUGACUUUCUGUCUAGAGUUUGCUCGUUUUUUUUUUUAACUACUUUUUGAGUUGGAACAGCUUGUUUCAGGCUUUUUUAAAAUUGAUUUCAUCCGAGCUAAAUCAUUUAAGGCCUUCACCACCCUUUACUUGCUCCUUUAAGUUUUGGAAUGUAGGGCUUUUUAAACUUAUGUGUAGAGGUGCUUUGAGCGCAUAUUAUUUCUUCACACCAUGUGCUUGCAAUGCCCAUGGAGGUUGGAAGAGGGCACCAGUGUCCUUCAAACUGGAGUCAUGGGCAGUGAACCACCAUCGGUUGUGUUGGGAGCUUACUGACUGAACUCAGGCCCCCGUAACAGCAGCGGAUGCUUUUAACAACAGAACCACAGGGUCUAGGACUUUCCAGCUCUAGGGACUUUAAUGCUUUGACUUUACUUGUUUCUGAUUACAAUUUCUCUUUAUGCUUAUUGAUCUAUAGUGUUCUAGAAGUGUAUUUUAAAGUUUAAAACUUACAUUUCAUUGAUAGUGAAUUUUUUUCUGGUAUGUGUGAUUGUGGUCACAUGUAUAGAGAUCUAGGACAUGGCAUUGAUCUUUGCCUUCCACUUUGUUUGAUGGGUUCUUUGUUGUUUGAUGCUGUUCAUGCCAGGCUAGCUGGCUGGUAAAUUUCUAGGAAUUCCCAUCUCUGCCUCCCAUUUUGUUAUGGGAGCAGUGGGAAUACAGACAGUCUACUGCCUGUGGUUUUAUGAAUUCAGGUCAAACGUGCUUUUUCUCACUGAGUUAUCUUCCCUAGCUCAGAUUAUAUCAUUUGAAGUUGGAUUUAAUAUCUGUUGGUGUUUGAUUUUUGUAGAUUGUUGUGGGAAUGACAGUUUUUUCACUCACUAUUUUUUUUCCUGGUUAGUUAUAUUUCUUGAGUACCAGAAUGAAAGCAUGAGCAGUGUAACAUAUUGUUGGGAUUAUGCUGAGAGCUUAGUUGCUGGUCUGGGGAUUGUUUCUGCUUGGUACUGGAGUGUUGUGAAGGGACAACAUGUCCCUGCCUUUUUGAAAGAAAACUUGAGGUUUGAAUGCCCUUUGACCAUAAAAUAUGUACAUUUUUUUUAGCUUGUCAUACUAAUUUGCUAUUUUUCUAAAAGGUAUUUAUUUUUAUGUAUAUGAGUAUACUGUAGCUGUCUUGAGACACACCAGAAGAGGGCAUCAGAUACCAUUACAGAUGGUUGUGAGCCACUAUGUGGUUGCUGGGAGUUGAAGUCAGGACAGGACCCCUGGAAGAGCAGUCAGUGUUCUUAACUGCUGAGCCAUCUCUCUAGCCCCUGAUUUGCUUUUCUAAACAUUUUUUAUGUGUUUAUAUAUGGGGAGUGUGUAUGUGGUUGUACUACUAAGACUAUGUAUGGCUUUGUUUCAUAGUAGAACCUUAAAUGUAAUACAAAGGAAGACAUUUUCCCCCUUUAAAAAAUACUUAUUAUUUGUGUGUGUGUGUGUGAGUGAGUGAGUGAGUGAGUGAGUGUGUGUGUGUAGGCAGUCAGUGUUUGCCAUGUGCAUGAAAUUUAGAGGACAACUUCUAGGAGGUGGUUUUCUUCCACUUUGGGUUCUGGGGAUAGAACUUGGGUUGUCAGUAUGCAAUUUUACCCACUCAGCCAACUCGCUGGCUCUCUUAUUUUUAUAAGAUUAGAAAUUGGUGCUGAAAUUAGGUUACAUGGCAGUUGGUGGCACAACUGGGAAUUCAAGCCUUCUUUAGGUUUUAAUUCAAGAGCUCUUGUUAAUUUUGCAUGGGGCCUACUUUCUUCCUAUUUAAACUUGAUCAUAGCUACAUCAGUUCUCUUUGAAAGUAGUAAAUAAAAGCAUGACAUGAAAGAUGACAUCCUUACAAAACAUGCUGUGUUUUAGGAAGUGGAAGCACCAUUGUUACCGCAAAUCUCUCUACCAAUCAGCAGUUCUUCACUGCCCACCUUCAGUUUUAGUUCCCCUGUGACCUCGGCUUCUCCUUCACCAGUCAGCUCUUCUCAGCCAUUACCAAACAAGGUAUAGAACCACUGUAUAAGUGAGGUGAUUCCUGUUUUUAUUCUUUAAUCCAAUUCUUUUUUUAAAGUGGUUUUCACUAUAAAAAUCACUAACUCUAAGGAAAAAAAUGGAAAAAAUACUGGGGAGUUGGUGCUGGGAUUGAUUCUAGGGCUUUUCUCAUGUUGAAGAAGCCCAUCUUCCACAUGCUAAGAAGUGUGAACGAUGUUUUAUUUUUUUAAAUGUAUAAAUAUACACAGGGAAUAUUUGCAUCUCAUAUAGUCUACACUAGACCAAAGUGAGAAAGUUGUUCUCUAAACAGUAUUUCCAGUUCUGGGGUGGUCGGGUGGGGCACUUACUAGUCAAUGUUUUGUUUUAAAUCAAAGUGAUUUUUAAAGUUAAAUGGAAAAAGAGUACUAUUAUUUCUUUGAGAUAAUCUUCUUAAAGUCUGUUUUAUUGUUCAUUCUUCUAAAGAGCUUUUUCUCUGUGUGUCAUUUUUUUACCACUC
rnacentral:lncRNA from 1 species